UACAGAGGUCUCAAGCGUUGUUCGGAUUCAUUGGGCGUAAAGGGUGCGUAGGCGGCGCGGUAAGUCGGGUGUGAAAUCUUGGAGCUUAACUCCGAAACUGCAUUCGAUACUGCCGUGCUUGAGGACUGGAGAGGAGACUGGAAUUUACGGUGUAGCGGUGAAAUGCGUAGAUAUUGUAAGGAAGACCAGUGGCGAAGGCGGGUCUCUGGACAGUUCCUGACGCUGAGGCACGAAGGCCAGGGGAGCAAACAGG
rnacentral:rRNA from 1 species